AAAAUUCAAGUUGUUAGCUCAUUUAGUAGAAAAUUCAUGAUCACUCCAUAUGUGUGUAUCAAAUUAUCACCAUUCAUCAUCAUAACAAAUCGGUGAGGGCUAAAGUGAUGAGUCCUUUGCCAAACAGGUGGCAAAGAGAAACCCAAGUCUUAUUUUAGUGGAAGCCGUGGGUUGGGUGAGUAAGACUGCAGCAGUUUUCAAUCGGCCUUAUCAAGGCUUAUUCAUGCAUUCAACACUUAAACAUCACUUUUCUUGCUUUCUUUCAUCAUGGUAUCAGAGCCAGACACGGCCAAUUCCAUUACAACGAACUCAAAUUCAACUGUUCUUAACCAAAAUCAGCCUUCACAUGGAAGUUGGAAACUUUGAACUUCAAUAAAUUUGUCUCCAUCUAUUGAAGCAGCUUUUGUUUGUUAAAUAUUAACAAUAAAAAGCAUUUAAAUUUUGUUCUCAUCGUCAUCGUUACCAUUUUCUUGGAUAAGUUUCUUCCCAAAUAUGAUGCAAGUCAAAAGUAUUGUGCCAGCACAAAUCUUCUUACAUUUUUUUUUCCUCCAACUGUUAUUGUUUAAAAAAAAAAUGAUGAAAUGAAAUUUGUACAAUCGCUGACUUUUCUUCAACAAUUCUCCCGAAUUCGUGCUCAAGAUGAGAGAAUAGAAAACUCAAGAACGUGAACGUUCACAAUUCUUACAAUUUCGAAUACAUUCUAAUUCCAGGUCUUUAGUCUUUACCUCAUAAAUAUUUAACAUUUAUAUAUUAAUUUUUUGUUUACUGAAAAUGAAAAUGAUGCUUAAAGAAUGAUCCUCCAUCAUAUGGAUCGCACGUUUAUCUUUAUUCAACCGAACAAUAUGAUUUUAAGUGACUUUAACAGACGAAUUUGAACACAACAUCUUCUUUGUGGGUAUCAAUUUAUGGUACUUGUCACUUUUCAUAUAAUUUGGCUUUACAUUAACAGAAUGUGUGGCUGAUGCAAAAGGUAAGUGCAUGAAAAUGAAACCUGCACAGGCUCACUCCCACAUCAAGGAUCAAGCCAAUUAUGCUCCAGAAAACACAUAUGCCUGCCUCUUUUUUUCACUUUCUCCUUGCCAUUAUUUGCUCGCCUUUCCGACCUUUCCUUGUAUUGCUCGUCGUUUUCAUAAUUAUUUUUUCUUGUCGCC
rnacentral:lncRNA from 1 species